rnacentral:lncRNA from 1 species
CUAAAAGAUAAGUGGAAGCUGGGUGGCCGGGGGCAAAUAUAAAGAGUUUCUUUGUAUAUUUCAGAGGUUGACACUUGCAGCAGGAAUUCUAGAGAGAAGGUCUCUACUGGAAAUCUAGAGAAAUGACCUCCAGGACAUCUUUGGAUAGUGGAAAGACCCUUGGACUUGGAUUACAGCCUGAUAGCGGGAGUAUGGGACGUUCAGGAACGACUAGCACUUCCUUGCCCAGCCUUUUCCAGAGCUGCUUGUCCAUCUUUGUUUCACCUCUCCCCUGUGACUCCAAGAAGCUGUGGCAUGGAGCUGCCCUUGUGGAGGAGGAUAAAAGGCAGAUGAGAAUCAUUUCUUCCAAAAGUCACGAAAGUGUUGGAUGCUGGUGCUUUGGAGCACUUAGAGAUUGGUCAGACAUAGGAAAUGGCAAGAUCAUCCGCUGCAUCUCAAGCUAUUACCGGUCGCUUGACUUUUGUCUUGCAAUUGUCUUCAAUGAUUCUGGAAGUUGCACUUUGGGAAACUCUGCUUCACUUAAAUCUAAUUUAUAUACAAGUCAAGACAUCACCCCCAGAUGCCACUGUUGCUUUUCAAAAGGGAAGGAUGAACAACAAUAAUAAAAAGGGAAACUAACACAGAUAAUUGAAACUGACAAAUGCAAAUAAGAGUGCUAGAAGUACCUGGAGAAUUUUGAGGAGAGCGAAAUCACUUUCAGACUAUCAUUGGAAAGUAAUGAGUGCCAGUAACAGCUGUUUUCUGCAGCUUGAAAAAAAAAAACUCAUUUUACAGAUUUUACUGAGGCAAGCAGGAUGAAAUGAUUUGCUUAGGUUCACAUAGCUCUUAAGUUUCUGAAGCCAGAUUUAAACUAAGAAAGUGAACCAUUGGACAGUGCAGAGAACUUCAUUGGCCAAAACAUUGUUUUCCAGUUCUUCAAUAGCUAUGACUGGAGCAUCUGCAGAGAUACAUGACAAGUUUCAUCUCUACAAGUAUUGCUUUCCUAGACAAUGGCCAUGGCAGUCCAGUUGUGAGCAGGGUUGAUUGUGGAGCUUGGGCAGCUGUCUGACAAAGUGGAUUGAGUACCAGCAUUGAAAUCAGGAAGACUCAUUUUCCUGGGUUCAAAUCUGAUCUCAGAUAGUUACUAGUUGUAUGACCCUGAGCAAGCCACUUAACUUCCUUUGCCUCAGUACUUCAUCUAUAAAAUGAGUUGGAGAAGGAAAUGGCAAAGCAUUCCAGUAUCUUUGCCAAGAAAAUCCCAGUUGUGAUCAUGAAGACUCAGACAUGAAUGAAAUAACUGAACAACAACAAAAACAGAGUCUCAGCUUUGGGUUAUUCUCACAAUCCACUGUUAUUGCUCCUAUGCACAUGCUAUUAAAUAAAUCUGG